UACGGAGGGUGCAAGCGUUAUCCGGAUUCACUGGGUUUAAAGGGUGCGUAGGCGGCGCGGAAAGUUGGGUGUGAAAUCCCUCGGCUCAACCGAGGAACUGCGCCCAAAACUACCGUGCUUGAGGGAGAUAGAGGUGAGCGGAACUUAGGGUGGAGCGGUGAAAUGCGUUGAUAUCCUAAGGAACACCCGUGGCGAAAGCGGCUCACUGGGUCUCUUCUGACGCUGAGGCACGAAAGCUAGGGUAGCGAACGGG
rnacentral:rRNA from 1 species